UCCCCAUUGGUGUAGGUGGUUAUCACGAGAGCCUUUCACGUUCUAAACCCGGGUUCGAGUCCCGGAUGGGGAG